rnacentral:rRNA from 1 species
GAUGAACGCUGGCGGCGUGCCUAAUACAUGCAAGUCGAACGAGGUGCUUUUGUAGCAAUACGAAGGUAUCCUAGUGGCGAACGGGUGAGUAACACGUUGGUGACCUGCCCCAAAGUGUGGGAUAACAGUCCGAAAGGAUUGCUAAUACCGCAUGUGGUCUUCGGGUUUAGAAACCGAUGACUAAAGCAGUAAUGCGCUUUGGGAGGGACCUGCGUCCCAUCAGCUAGUUGGUGAGGUAACGGCCCACCAAGGCUACGGCGGGUAGGGGACCUGAGAGGGUGGCCCCCCGCAAUGGAACUGAAACACGGUCCAUACACCUACGGGUGGCAGCAGUAGGGAAUAUUGCUCAAUGGGCGAAAGCCUGAAGCAGCAACGCCGCGUGUGCGAAGAAGGCCUUCGGGUCGUAAAGCACUUUUCUGAGAGAUGAGAAAGGACAGUAUCUCAGGAAUAAGUCUCGGCUAACUACGUGCCAGCCGCCGCCGUAA